rnacentral:rRNA from 1 species
CGCGUAGGCGGACUUUCAAGUCGGAUGUGAAAUCUCUGGGCUCAACUCAGAGCGUGCAUCCGAUACUGUUGGUCUUGAGUAUAUCAGAGGAAAGCGGAAUUCCAGGUGUAGCGGUGAAAUGCGUAGAUAUCUGGAAGAACACCAGUAGCGAAGGCGGCUUUCUGGGGUAAUACUGACGCUGAAGCGCGAAGGCUAGGGGAGCAAACA